rnacentral:rRNA from 1 species
GAUGAACGCUGGCGGCGUGCCUAAUACAUGCCAGUCGAGCGAACAGACGAGGAGCUUGCUCCUCUGACGUUAGCGGCGGACGGGUGAGUAACACGUGGAUAACCUACCUAUAAGACUGGGAUAACUUCGGGAAACCGGAGCUAAUACCGGAUAAUAUAUUGAACCGCAUGGUUCAAUAGUGAAAGACGGUUUUGCUGUCACUUAUAGAUGGAUCCGCGCCGCAUUAGCUAGUUGGUAAGGUAACGGCUUACCAAGGCGACGAUGCGUAGCCGACCUGAGAGGGUGAUCGGCCACACUGGAACUGAGACACGGUCCAGACUCCUACGGGAGGCAGCAGUAGGCAAUCUUCCGCAAUGGGCGAAAGCCUGACGGAGCAACGCCGCGUGAGUGAUGAAGGUCUUCGGAUCGUAAAACUCUGUUAUUAGGGAAGAACAAAUGUGUAAGUAACUAUGCACGUCUUGACGGUACCUAAUCAGAAAGCCACGGCUAACUACGUG